rnacentral:rRNA from 1 species
UAGGGAAUCUUCGGCAAUGGACGGAAGUCUAACCGAGCAACGCCGCGUGAGUGAAGAAGGUUUUCGGAUCGUAAAGCUCUGUUGUUAGAGAAGAACGUUGGUAGGAGUGGAAAAUCUACCAAGUGACGGUAACUAACCAGAAAGGGACGGCUAACUACGUGCCAGCAGCCGCGGUAAUACGUAGGUCCCGAGCGUUGUCCGGAUUUAUUGGGCGUGAAGCGAGCGCAGGCGGUUCUUUAAGUCUGAAGUUAAAGGCAGUGGCUUAACCAUUGUACGCUUUGGAGACUGGAGGACUUGAGUGCAGAAGGGGAGAGUGGAAUUCCAGGUGUAGCGGUGAAAUGCGUAGAUAUAUUGAGGAACACCGGUGGCGAAAGCGGCUCUCUGGUCUGUAACUGACGCUGAGGCUCGAAAGCGUGGGGACCAAACAGG